rnacentral:sRNA from 1 species
AGAACUAGGGAGAGGUACGCUGUUCGCAGCGC